UCUCUUGUGUUGUUGGAAGAGGGUGUUUGCUAUGACCAGUGCAUUCUCUUGGCAAAACUCUAUUGGCCUUUGCCCUGCUUCAUUCUGUACUCCAAGGCCAAAUUUGCCUUUUACUCCAGUUAUUUCUUAACUCCCUACUUUUGCAGUCCAGUUCCUUAUAAUGAAAAAGACAUCUUUUUUGGGGUAUUAGUCCUAGAAGGUCUUGCAGGUCUUCAUAGAACUGUUCAACUUCAGCUUCUUC